rnacentral:rRNA from 1 species
UACGUAGGGGGCAAGCGUUGUCCGGAAUCAUUGGGCGUAAAGGGCUCGUAGGUGGCCAACUAAGUCAGACGUGAAAUCCCUCAGCUUAACUGGGGAACUGCGUCUGAUGCUGGAUGGCUUGAGUUUGGGAGAGGGAUGCGGAAUUCCAGGUGUAGCGGUGAAAUGCGUAGAUAUCUGGAGGAACACCGGUGGCGAAGGCGGCAUCCUGGACCAACACUGACACUGAGGAGCGAAAGCCAGGGGAGCAAACGGG